rnacentral:lncRNA from 1 species
ACCAACUUUAUUUAUUAUUUUAUUAUAAAGAAAAAAAAAAGCAAUGUAGAAGAAAUAAAAGGUGAAGCCUUUGCGCUAUAAAUAGGUGUGCUGGGGGGAGAGAGGGCAAGAAUGCAAGUGAAAGAGAAAGGGGAGGCGAAGGUAUGAUGUCGCAGGAGGGUUGACACUGCCAAUUUAAGCCAUUGCUAUUUACCCUCACUGUCAGUGUCAUCCUUCUGCGUCAUUAUACCUUUCCACUUCCUUUUUUAUUCAGUUUGCCGAUCGCUAUUUCAGGUAUGCAACACUGAUUAUCUCUUCUUCUUUUUAUUGUUAUUAUUAGGGGAGAUUUUAAUUUUUAACUCAGUUUUUGGUUCCAGAUUGUGUGUAUUUUAUUCGAUACACCAAAAUAUUUUGAAUAUGAUAUAAAUAUGAUUUUUUUUAAUAAAAACGGGUUAAUACAAACUUAAAAAAAAUAUGAAAUUAUUCCUAUUUUAUGGAGUAAAUUGUAUUUUUAGGGUGUGUUUGUGAUUUUAUAUUUUUAUAUAGAAAAAUAAAUAGGAUUUGAAUUUUAAAAAAUGUCUUUUUAGUUUUUCAUUUUUGUACUUUAUCAAUUAAAGCUUCAUUUUAUAGAAAAAGGGAAUAGCAGAAGGUAUCCAUGACCGAUUUAUUAAAUUUUUUUUUUUUUAAAAAAAGAGGGUGUAGGACAUUGUAACACAUUUCAGGAUUAUGUAAUUGUAUGAUUGCAAUGAUUGGGUAUGUAUAAAGUGGCGCUGUGAAAUGAAUUAGUCAACAAAUCAUAGUUGUCAAGUUCCACACUAAUUAAUGCAUGCUUACUUUUGGCCAACAUUGGAAGAAACAUUUUUCAUUCGCUUUCAAUAUAAACAUUUGUAUAUAUUUUUUCUCCAAAUUUUCAACCACAAAUAACAAUAAUUAUUAUGUUAUUUUAAAAAUUUAUAAAUAGGUUUAUGAGUUUUACGUACCCAUUAAAGCCUCAAAUAAUUUUUUUACACAUGUCUCACUCAAGUAUGAAAUUAAAAUUCUUUUAAACUAUUUUUUAAAAAGGAAAAAGAAAAUCAACUUUCGGCUACUUUUCAUUGAUCUUGAUGCAUAGUACUUCAAAGCUAUUUUUUCCAACGUCGACUUUAUUUAGUUACCGGGAAACUAUAUUUAUUGCAUUGCAUUUAUCCCACUUCGACUUUUAUUUUUUUCCUUUUAAUUUGGAGAGACUAAAAAGUUUAUUAGAUAAAUUUUUGUAAUAAAUAAAAUUAUCACGUGUAAAAAUAAAAAGAUUCUGGGUAAAAAAAUAAAUUAUAAAUUUAUUUAACUACAAAAUAAAUUGUCAAAAUCAAAAUAAAUUUAGAUAAAGUUUACACAUGAUGAGAACAUGAGAUGUCAAAAUUUUGACUGAAUUAGUAUCAUCUAUUAAUUAAGUCCUAACUUGAUUAUGAAAUUGUCAAAAAGUCUUUAUUUUUAUAAAAUAACAUAGUAAUAUUAUAAAAUUUUAUUAUUUUUAAUUAAUUUCUAAUAAUUUUUCAUAAAUUUUAAUGAGCUUUCUUUUUUUUUUUAUAAACUUUUUAUGUUUUCUUUCUAUUUUUAGAAUGAGUUUAGACAAAUAACGGUUCAAGUUUAAAUGAAAGUGGACAAUUUUUUUUUUUUUUUGUAAAUAACGUGACACUACCACGUUAAUAAAUCAGUGUUGAAGCAACAUCUAUUAAUAGCCACAUCAAUGUUGUUGUUAAAUCUUAACUAUCAAUAUCAAUCAAAGGGCUUGUUUAGUCAAUUUUGUUAAUUUAAGAUUUAAUUAGGUGUAAAAGGUAAUUUAAAGAGACUUAAUUGAUUGUUUUGAUAAAGUUUGAGAGUUUAUUUUAAUAGAGUAUACGUAUAAAUGGUAGGGUGGCCAUAUAUAUGUUUAACAAGUAGUAUUAAAAAUCUAUUGUAUGACUAUAUUUUUAAUUAGUUGUUUUCAGAAAAAGUUGAAAAGAUGAGCAUCAUUUGACACAGAACUAAACAGUGAUGUUUCAGUUAAAGUUAAUAAUACCAAAAUUCAGGCACGAGACUAACCACAUUACUCCCUAAACAAGCCAUGAAUUUUGCAGAGCUGAGAGAUAAAGAAUGUGAUCACAGCACCUGCUUUUUCAAUUUGAUUCACGUGAUUGUGCCUCCAAGCCAAGCCAGUAAGCCUGAUUAGUGAAUGGUAAUGGACAAGGUUACAUAAUCCAUUUUCAUGUUUCUCCUGCACACAUAUUCUAACAUUUAAAUCAUGUGGUGACGUACCUAUUUCUUUCACUUUGUAAACAACACCUUAGUUUAGUUACGUAAAGAAAUUUCAUGGUUUUAGAAUAAGAACUUAAGUCCCAUCUUUUACCCUACACUUGUAAUCCAAAAAGGUUAGAAACGUAAGAUAGUUUAAUAAUAAAAUUUUGAUUUUAGCUAAAAUUAUCAUGUUUAGGCGUAAGUGAUUAAAAUAAGAAUAUUUUGAAUUAAUUUAUUUUUAUAUGAAAAUAUAGCACAAAAAAUUCCUGAUUUGUGGUACUCAAAUCAAAAUUUUAAAUAAGAGUAUAGAUAAGUGAAGAAAGAAAACCAUGUCGACUGCAAGGCAAAUAAAUUCUAUUGUUAAAAAUUUGCUUCAAUUUGUGAUGGUUACAUAACACUACAAAUAUAAUAUAUAUAUUAUCUAUCAGUGAACCAUCUGCGAUCAUAACUCUAUUAAUUGAUAUCCAUCAAUGAAUCCAAGCUUCCUGCCUCUUGCCAGAAGUAAUACUGAAUAAUGGAUAUGGAUGCAUCGUAUGAAGACCAAGUCUUCGUCUUCGUCUUCAUCAUUGUCUUUGUCUUCUGAGAUAUGUAUAACCGAACACUAAUUGGUUUGAAUGCCCCCCUAAUCAAGUUUCCGAUGGUAUUAUUAUUUGCAUUGUCGUGGUCGGAAAUUGUUGUCGGAUAGAAGAGCGCUAAUCAAAGUUUCCAACCUUGUUGCUCCAGGGCCAGGCUUGAUGACGGUUGUAUUACCAAUAACGGAACAAGGAUCACUCCCAUUUUUCCCACUUCCUACACACCAACCACCAGGAGUGAACAUGUCUGGACCACGAGACAAGAGGUCAGAGUCGAUUUUGUCUAGCGCUGCAGGAUC